AGGACGAACGCUGGCGGCGUGCUUAACACAUGCAAGUCGAGCGGAAAGGCCCUUCGGGGUACUCGAGCGGCGAACGGGUGAGUAACACGUGAGUAAUCUGCCCCUAGCUCUGGGAUAGCUCCGGGAAACCGGGAUUAAUACCAGAUACGACCACUUUAGACAUCUUCUGUGGUGGAAAGAACUUCGGCUAGGGAUGAACUCGCGGCCUAUCAGCUUGUUGGUGAGGUAACGGCUCACCAAGGCGACGACGGGUAGCCGGCCUGAGAGGGCGACCGGCCACACUGGGACUGAGACACGGCCCAGACUCCUACGGGAGGCAGCAGUGGGGAAUAUUGCGCAAUGGGCGAAAGCCUGACGCAGCGACGCCGCGUGGGGGAUGAAGGCCUUCGGGUUGUAACCUCUUUCAGCAGGGACGAAGCGCAAGUGACGGUACCUGCAGAAGAAGCACCGGCCAACUACGUACCAGCAGCCGC
rnacentral:rRNA from 1 species